rnacentral:rRNA from 1 species
GAUGAACGCUGGCGGCGUGCCUAAUACAUGCAAGUCGAGCGAACGGACGAGAAGCUUGCUUCUCUGAUGUUAGCGGCGGACGGGUGAGUAACACGUGGAUAACCUACCUAUAAGACUGGGAUAACUUCGGGAAACCGGAGCUAAUACCGGAUGAUAUUUUGAACCGCAUGGUUCAAAAGUGAAAGACGGUCUUGCUGUCACUUAUAGAUGGAUCCGCGCUGCAUUAGCUAGUUGGUAAGGUAACGGCUUACCAAGGCAACGAUGCAUAGCCGACCUGAGAGGGUGAUCGGCCACACGGGAACUGAGACACGGUCCAGACUCCUACGGUAGGCAGCAGUAGGGAAUCUUCCGCAAUGGGCGAAAGCCUGACGGAGCAACGCCGCGUGAGUGAUGAAGGUCUUCGGAUCGUAAAACUCUGUUAUUAGGGAAGAACAUAUGUGUAAGUACCUGUGCACAUCUUGACGGUACCUAAUCAGAAAGCCACGGCUAACUACGUG